rnacentral:lncRNA from 1 species
CAGUGACAUCUUGUUGCUGCUGGGUGAGAGGCCGGUGGAGCCCCUGGCGUGGCCCUGGCUGCCCACGGUCUGUCGGGGGCUUGCAGGGUACCACAGCAUGACAGAGCUUGUGGCAGCGUGUGUUACCUGUUUUACUGCUGUUUUUUUCCCCAGAGCUUUGAAGGAGACAAAGAGGGCUUUAUUUCAGCUCCAAGCCAAAUACUUGAGAGAAAAAUAUCAUCCCCGCUGUUUUCCCGUACUGCAGGAAAAGCAGAGGCAGGGAGAACUACAGGCCACAUACUAUAUGGAAAUAAAUACUAGUUAUAUGUGGACACCUUUGCUGAAGUUGCUAAGGAGCAGAGCUAGCAAUUUCCUUCUCAAAAUCCAGAUAUAUCAAACAACAUAA